UGCUCUAUGAUAUAAUUUCGCUGUAGCAAGUUAAGAUGGUGGCUAAUCUUCAUAUAAAAAUGAGGUGAUGCCUAUGAUUAAUAGUGAGUGUUACCUUGAGAAAGGUUAAUAUGAGCGUGUAUCAAGCUUUAAUGUUGAUGAUUUCAUUUUCAACAUUAACAGUUAUCAUACUAAAAU
rnacentral:sRNA from 1 species